AUUGAACGCUGGCGGCAGGCCUAACACAUGCAAGUCGAGGGAGUGGAGGACGGGUGAGUAAAAUAUGUAAACGUGCCCAGUAGCGGGGGGUAACUGCUCGAAAGAGGGGAUAAUACCGCAUACUAGUUGAAGGGCGGAUAUGGGAUUAGCUAGUUGGUGGGGUAAGGGAUCACCCAGGAAACGAUCCGUAGCUGGUUUGAGAGGAAGACCAGCCACACUGGGACUGAGACACGGCCCAGACUACUACGCGAGGCAGCAGUGGGGAAUUUUGGACAAUGGGGGAAACCCUGAUCCAGCCAUCCCGCGUGGAUGAGAAGGCCUUCGGGUUGUAAAGUACUUUUGGCAGAGAAGCGGUAUCUGAAGAAUAAGCACCGGCUAACUACGUGCCAGCAGCCGCGGUAAUUC
rnacentral:rRNA from 1 species